AUAUAUAUAUAUAUAUAUAUAUAUAUAUAUAUGCUCUGCAAAUAUUGUUAAACAUUCGUUCAUUUGCGCCACUGUAUGUUUCUGUCGGUGGGUGCUAUAAUGUUGCACGUCUUGCAUCACAUGCAGGUCAAAGUUUGAGCGCACACAUGUAAUAUCUGUGAGUUUUGUAAUAUCUCCCGUUUUGCAAGAGAAAAGGGACUGGGAUUCCAACUGUCAGCGGAGAGUGUUGUCUGCAACCAGAAAAUCAGGAUGGAUCCGUGACCUGCCAAUACCUCAGGACAUCAAUGUGUCGUACCACAAGUGUGGGGUGGAUCGAAAAACGGUUGUGGAUACGGCAGCGAUAGCAGAGCUGGAGUAUUGUGAUGCUGAAGCCUACAAGACAUUGCGUGAAAAGUUCCACAGAGGCCAGAAACUGUCAGAGUUUGCCAAACAGUGCAAAGAAAUGUGCACAAGGGAGCCACUUCGAAGCAUCAUCGAGGAAAAAAAGAAGAA